rnacentral:hammerhead_ribozyme from 1 species
AUCCAGAUGACGAGUUCCAAAUAGGACGAAAAAUGCAUCCUUGAU